GACGAACGCUGGCGGCGUGCCUAAUACAUGCAAGUUGAGCGCUGAAGGUUGGUACUUGUACCGACUGGAUGAGCAGCGAACGGGUGAGUAACGCGUGGGGAAUCUGCCUUUGAGCGGGGGACAACAUUUGGAAACGAAUGCUAAUACCGCAUAAAAACUUUAAACACAAGUUUUAAGUUUGAAAGAUGCAAUUGCAUCACUCAAAGAUGAUCCCGCGUUGUAUUAGCUAGUUGGUGAGGUAAAGGCUCACCAAGGCGAUGAUACAUAGCCGACCUGAGAGGGUGAUCGGCCACAUUGGGACUGAGACACGGCCCAAACUCCUACGGGAGGCAGCAGUAGGGAAUCUUCGGCAAUGGACGAAAGUCUGACCGAGCAACGCCGCGUGAGUGAAGAAGGUUUUCGGAUCGUAAAACUCUGUUGGUAGAGAAGAACGUUGGUGAGAGUGGAGAGCUCAUCAAGUGACGGUAACUACCCAGAAAGGGACGGCUAACUACGUG
rnacentral:rRNA from 1 species